rnacentral:rRNA from 1 species
GGUGAGUAACGCGUGGGAAACCUGCCCUCGAGAUGGGGAUAACACCUCUAACGAGGUGCUAAUACCGAAUAAGACCACGGGGCCGCAUGGUUCCGCGGUCAAAGAUGGCCUCUGCUUGCACGCUAUCACUUGAGGAUGGUCCCGCGUCCCAUUAGCUAGUUGGCGGGGUAACGGCCCACCAAGGCGACGAUGGGUAGCUGGUCUGAGAGGAUGGUCAGCCACACUGGGACUGAGAUACGGCCCAGACUCCUACGGGAGGCAGCAGUCGAGAGGCUUCGUCAAUGGGGGAAACCCUGAACGAGCGACGCCGCGUGGGCGAUGAAGGCCUUCGGGUUGUAAAGCCCUGUCGUGUGGGAAGAACGAUUCAACGGCAAACAGCCGUGGGAUCUCGACGGUACCGCAAAAGGAAGCUCUGGCUAACUCCGUGCCAGCAGCCGCGGUAAUACGGGGGGAGCGAACGUUGUUCGGAAUUACUGGGCGUAAAGGGCGCGUAGGCGGCUUCGUAAGUGAGAUGUGAAAGCUCCCGGCUUAACCAGGGAACUGCGUCUCAUACUGCGAGGCUUGAGUGCAGGAGAGGAUGGGGGAAUUCCCGGUGUAGCGGUGAAAUGCAUUGAUAUCGGGAGGAACACCAGUGGCGAAGGCGCCCAUCUGGCCUGCUACUGACGCUGAGGCGCGAAAGCUGGGGGAGCAAACAGGAUUAGAUACCCUGGUAGUCCCAGCUGUAAACGGUGGGCACUAGGUGUGGGGGGCAUCGACCCCUCCCGUGCCGCAGCUAACGCAUUAAGUGCCCCGCCUGGGAGUACGACCCGCAAGGUU